AUGGCUAGCUUGAUGCCAUCGCUUGCCAUGAACCUGCCACAAGAAGAAGGUGGUCACGAGGACUCCGCGUUCGUCGGCGUCAUGGGAGAUCCAGACGACCCGGAGUUGGCCGCGUUGGUGGCCGAGGCGCUCAAGACGGUGGACGCGCCCUGCGACGAGGAUGAUCUCGGCUGUCCAAUCUGCUUGGAGGAGGACGACGCCGCGGCGUGGAAGGAGACGCCGUGCGGGCACCGGUUCCACGGGCGGUGCGUAGAGAGGUGGCUGCAGGAGAAAGAGAGCUGCCCCAUGUGCCGUCGCGAGGUCGUCACGGCGCCCGCCGCCACCGCAGAUUGUACCGCUGCAUUCCUAGAUUUCUUGUGGGUGGCUACCUUGCGGUUGCAUGUGUUUGGCGUCGUUCCUACGGACGACAUGGAAACUGAUUAG
rnacentral:rRNA from 1 species